CCCUCACAAAUAAAGUCACAAAUCAAGAAUUAACAUUGAUGGUGAUGGUGGCAAGGGUGCCUUCAUAAGGUGCCAUCCAGCAAGUCCCAGCCUGGAGCCAGAGGCUGGCACUGCACGUCAGAUGGGGGAGGAUCUAUGUUAGGCAUCAGAAAGGUGGUUUAAGCAAGAAGGAAAGAGCUUCUGCAGACAGUGUUGCAAUUAGACACCUGACUUUUACUGAGUCCCUUUUCUGGUUUGUUUUGGAUGAACUAGAGUGGUGGGCACAGAAAUUUUGUCGAUGGGUCAAACAUUCACACACUCACACUCACUCACACAACCACACUUGUGGAUUUGUCAAGCAACAAAU